rnacentral:rRNA from 1 species
GACGAACGCUGGCGGCGUGCUUAACACAUGCAAGUCGAACGGAAAGGCCCUGCUUUUGUGGGGUGCUCGAGUGGCGAACGGGUGAGUAACACGUGAGUAACCUGCCCUUGACUUUGGGAUAACUUCAGGAAACUGGGGCUAAUACCGUAUAGGAGCUCCUGCUGCAUGGUGGGGGUUGGAAAGUUUCGGCGGUUGGGGAUGGACUCGCGGCUUAUCAGCUUGUUGGUUGGGUAGUUGCUUACCAAGGCUUUGACGGGUAGCCGGCAUGAGAGGGUGACCGGCCACAUUGGGACUGAGAUACGGUCCAGACUCCUACGGGAGGCAGCAGUGGGGAAUAUUGCACAAUGGGCGGAAGCCUGAUGCAGCAACGCCGCGUGCGGGAUGACGGCCUUCGGGUUGUAAACCGCUUUCGCCUGUGACGAGGCGUGAGUGACGGUAAUGGGUAAAGAAGCACCGGCUAACUACGUG